rnacentral:tRNA from 1 species
UGGGUUAUGGCUCAGUGGUAGAGCAUUCUCCUAGCGUAUAUGAGGUCCUGGGUUCAAUUCUCAGUACCACAU